CCUACGGGGUGCAGCAGUGAGGAAUAUUGGUCAAUGGGCGCGAGCCUGAACCAGCCAAGUCGCGUGAGGGAGGACGGCCCUACGGGUUGUAAACCUCUUUUGCCGGGGAGCAACGGGCGUCACGUGUGGCGCCACUGAGAGUACCCGGAGAAAAAGCAUCGGCGAACUCCGUGCCAGCAGCCGCGGUAAUACGGAGGAUGCGAGCGUUAUCCGGAUUUAUUCGGUUUAACGGGUGCGUAGUCGGAUCGUUAAGUCAGUGGUCAAAUUGAGGGGCUCAACCCCUUCCCGCCAUUGAAACUGGCGUUCUUGAGUGGAAGAGAGGUAUGCGGAAUGCGUGGUGUAGCGGUGAAAUGCAUAGAUAUCACGCAGAACCCCGAUUGCGAAGGCAGCAUGCCGGCUUCCGACUGACGCUGAAGCACGAAAGCGUGGGGAUCGAACAGGAUUAGAUACCCUUGUAGUC
rnacentral:rRNA from 1 species